GACGAACGCUGGCGGCGUGCUUAACACAUGCAAGUCGAACGGAAAGGCCCUGCUUUUGUGGGGUGCUCGUGUGGCGAACGGGUGAGUAACACGUGAGUAACCUGCCCUUGACUUUGGGAUAACUUCAGGAAACUGGGGCUAAUACCGGAUAGGAGCUCCUGCUGCAUGGUGGGGGUUGGAAAGUUUCGGCGGUUGGGGAUGGACUCGCGGCUUAUCAGCUUGUUGGUGUGGUAGUGGCUUACCAAGGCUUUGACGGGUAGCCGGCCUGGGAGGGUUACCGGCCACAUUGGGACUGAGAUACGGCCCAGACGCCUACGGGAGGCAGCAGUGGGGAAUAUUGCACAAUGGGCGGAAGCCUGAUGCAGCAACGCCGCGUGCGGGAUGACGGCCUUCGGGUUGUAAACCGCUUUCGCCUGUGACGAAGCGUGAGUGACGGUAAUGGGUAAAGAAGCACCGGCUAACUACGUG
rnacentral:rRNA from 1 species